CAUCCUACGGGGCGCAGCAGUGAGGAAUAUUGGUCAAUGGGCGAGAGCCUGAACCAGCCAAGUCGCGUGAGGGAGUACUGCCCUAUGGGUUGUAAACCUCUUUUGUCGGGGAGCAAAAGCCGGACGUGUCCGUCUGUGAGAGUACCCGAAGAAAAAGCAUCGGCUGACUCCGUGCCAGCAGCCGCGGUAAUACGGAGGGUGCGAGCGUUAAUCGGAAUUACUGGGCGUAAAGCGCUCGUAGGCGGUAUGUCAAGUCAAGGGUGAAAUCCCCGCGCUCAACGUGGGAACUGCCUUUGAAACUGGCA
rnacentral:rRNA from 1 species